rnacentral:piRNA from 1 species
UACAGGCCAAAACUGUCCUCAGGUCAGC